rnacentral:rRNA from 1 species
CGGGGUGCAGCAGGCGCGAAAACUUUACAAUGCUGGCAACAGCGAUAAGGGGACCUCGAGUGCCAGGAUACAAUCUUGGCUGUCGCGAUGCCUAAAAAGCAUUGCAUAGCAAGGGCCGGGCAAGACCGGUGCCAGCCGCCGCGGUAACACCGGCGGCUCGAGUGGUAACCGCUAUUAUUGGGUCUAAAGGGUCUGUAGCCGGCCGGAUAAGUCUUUUGGGAAAUCCAGCUGCUCAACAGUUGGGCUUUCAGAAGAUACUGUUCGGCUCGAGACCGGGAGAGGUGAGAGGUACUUCAGGGGUAGGGGUGAAAUCUUGUAAUCCUUGAAGGACCACCAGUGGCGAAGGCGUCUCACCAGAACGGAUCUGACGGCAAGGGACGAAAGCUAGGGGCACGAACCGGAUUAGAUACCCGGGUAGUCCUAGCCGUAAACGAUACUCGCUAGGUGUCAGCCACGGUGCGACCGUGGUUGGUGCCGUAGGGAAGCCGUGAAGCGAGCCACCUGGGAAGUACGGCCGCAAGGCUGAAACUUAAAGGAAUUGGCGGGGGAGCACAAGGGCGAAUUCGCGG